AGUGAUGUUUGAGCCCCAGCAUAGAUCAGCAUGCCAGGAAGCAGCCCACCGGACCCACCCCUGAUCAUGGCACUGGACAUUGUUUUCCGUGCUUUUCUCAGGCUGGUUUCUGCCUGUCCCAACCCUGGCCAUGGCUGACAAGGGGCCCAGGGACACUGGAGCAGAGAGACCUGCUGGUCCUUGGGGUUUCUUGCAAGCUGCCUCUAAAGGGAAAUAUCCCAGGAGUGAUGAAAACUUGAAGAUCGAGGAUUGGAUAUAAGCUCAGAGGUGAAGGAGGGAAAUUCCUCGGGUCAACUUUAGCGGACUGAUCCACGGGGUCUGCCAAGAGACAGGAGCUCGAGGGUUAAACCCAAGCACUCGGGAGUCAGAUGUAUGAAUCUGAAUCUCAGCCUCUCGGCUUGCUGUGUAAUCUCAGAGUGAAUCAUCUGUGAACACUUCCUGUGAACGUGUGACUAUGAUUAUGGAACACUCUGUUGCAUCAAGAUGGCCAGAGAUUGUCUCAGAGUCCAGGCAGUGGGAGGAGGGGGGAUUUGUUUCCUGGCUGGGUGGUCGUAGGGCAUCAAGGGAUGAGCAGCUUUGGUUGUCUGGGAUUUCAGCAGCUUGAGGGGAGCUGUAGGGCCCCAGAGCUGUCGCUGUGGCUGUGGUGUCAGAAAUGUAAGCAAGGUGCCUCCAUGGAGGUUAGCGAGGGUGCCCCUCUGAAUGCCGGGUGGAAUGCAACCUUUCGCAUGGAGGAGGCCCUCAGCAGCUGACCUCUGUCUUCCCUGUGUAGAGGGAGGGAGGCUGAGGCUGGGGCUGAGCGAGGGGUAAAGUAAGCCACGUGUCUCAUCAGCUAGCCUGCAGCAAGCACAGCCCUCUGGGAGGGCUGGUUCUAUCCUCCUCCUUGGUGUGAAAUCCAUCAAUCUAAUAGGGAUCCUUAUUUUCCCAGCCACCAAGUCACAAUGAGCAAUAAUCUCUUCUUGUUGGUGCAUAUAAAUUUGCUUCAUUCUUUUUUAAACAGCUGCCUUGUGUCGCCUUUUGCAUUCAGCCCAAGUCCAGCCUAGGAGGACAGCCUUAUCUUAAGUCACUGAGGGAACUAGCUUGCCUAACUGAAAGGGCUUUGCCCUGGAAGGAGAAGGGUCUUCUGGAAACAUAAAACGUUUCAGGGGAGGGCAGUCCUGAAUGAGAUGGCUCUAGGGGGUGGGGGACACUGGACCGCCUGAAGGUACUGGGCAUCUGGCCUGGGCUUUUGAGGAAAUGCAAAGCCAUGCUAUAGAUGAUGCUGAGCAAAGGCGGGAGAGAGACGUGGGGGUCCUACCGGGGUCACUUGAAAACCCCUUCUCCGGCCUCCCCCACGCUAACCCAUCUCUCCUGGCACGCAAGUCUGGAAAGGCCACUGGCCCUAACCAUGCUGGCUCUGCGUCCACCUUCCUCUUCAAUUCAAAUGGCUUGGAUAAAGCCAUGGGUUAUGACGCUUAACCCAUCACUGUGGGAAACUGGAUGACUUGGGGAACAAAGCCAACCUUUUGCUGUCUUGCGGAGGCAGGCAGUGGAGGGUUAUUGCCAAAAGCCUGAGCUCCGGAGCUGUGAUCUCUGAGUCUCAGUUUCCCCGUGUAAAAUGUGAUUCGAAUGAUACCUACUUCACAGGGGUAUUGUAGGGAUUGAAGGAAAUAAUGGGGAGAAGGCAUUUAUCCAAUGCCCGGCAUAGACUCUCGCAGUAACUCCCAGUUGCUCAGGCUAGUCGGGGAGGGUGGGACUGCGGCUCUAGCAGAGCCAUGGCGCCACCUUGCGGUUCUGUCGGCCAGGACAGUCGGUUAAUCAGAUUCAAAUCCAGUGACCCUUUUUCAAGCGCCUGUGAGUAGGCCUGUGCUGGGUUGAACUCAUUAUUAUUUAAACAUGUAAACUGUGUAAUGGUAAGUACAGUGCUAGUGUCUAACAGAACAUCUUGGAAAGAUCUUACAGUGCGAUGCUGGAGAAACAUCGUUUGGAAGGAACCCGCUCUCCACGCCCCCAUCAAAGGGACCCCCUUCUAAGCUACCAUGACUGCUCAAAUACCCCAGACGUUCCCAGCUUCAGCGACUAACUGGAAACAAGGUUUUGUUAGCUUAAGAGCAAGGAGAGGGGAUUCAUGAUCAGAUUUAAAAUGUCUCCUCAGUUUCCAAGUCCUGCCAUAUUGCUUCUCCCAGUUUCACUCAAACCCCCGCUCCCCUCCCCAGCCCCCUAGCCCACCACUGGUCUGCUGUCUUUCCUCUCUCCGGACCCGCUCAGGUCUCCCAUUCCCUUUGCUUUUCCCCUCCACCCCCACCUCCACUGUAACCUGCUAUGGUUAGUCUCCUCCUCUUCCUGCUGCACCCCUC
rnacentral:lncRNA from 1 species